rnacentral:rRNA from 1 species
AGGACGAACGCUGGCGGCGUGCUUAACACAUGCAAGUCGAACGGUGACCCAGGGCUUGCCCUGGUGAUCAGUGGCGAACGGGUGAGUAACACGUGGGCAACCUGCCCCAGACUCUGGGAUAACUCCGGGAAACCGGGCUAAUACCGGAUACGAAUCGAGUUGGCAUCUUCUCGAUUGGAAAGUUUUUCGGUCUGGGAUGGGCCCGCGGCCUAUCAGCUUGUUGGUGGGUAAUGGCCUACCAAGGCGACGACGGGUA